rnacentral:rRNA from 1 species
AUUGAACGCUAGCGGGAUGCCUUACACAUGCAAGUCGAACGGCAGCAUAAGAGAGCUUGCUCUCUUGAUGGCGAGUGGCGAACGGGUGAGUAAUGUAUCGGAACGUGCCCAGUAGCGGGGGAUAACUACGCGAAAGCGUAGCUAAUACCGCAUACGCCCUACGGGGGAAAGGAGGGGAUCCGCAAGGACCUUUCACUAUUGGAGCGGCCGAUAUCGGAUUAGCUAGUUGGUGAGGUAACGGCUCACCAAGGCGACGAUGCAUAGCCGAGUUGAGAGACUGAUCGGCCACAAUGGAACUGAGACACGGUCCAU